GAUGGAGAUGAAGUCCAGAGACAGAAUAAAAUAAUUGAGCAGACAAAAGAAUGGGUAAAGGUCAGCUUGGGAGAAUCAAUGGCUUUUAAUUCAGGCCCUAAAAUUAUUGAACUCAAUAUCAAGUCUGGAAGGCUGCAGCAUCCCCAAGUUGAAAAUGAGAUGGUGUUCUUCCAGCUUACGCUAAGCUUCGCUGGAGUACAGCAGCAAGCCUGAGGCAGAGAUGUUGGCCAAGGUGUGUUGAAGUGGCAGGUGACAGGAAGAAAAACUAUACAAAUCUGCAAAAACUAAUGGUUGGUCAAAGGCUUGAAUAUACUUUAAGAACCAGCAAAAAAUGACUAAAAAGGUAAUAGAUACAGAUAAUAGAGAGAACGCUGGCUAGUAAUAUGAAGACAAUUCCACACACAAAUGACCCUCAAAAUAUUUUUCCUCCAUUUUAAGAGCAAGCUGUAUUGUUCCUAAAUUGCCCUCUAUUUCUGGAAUACUCGACAAGGAAAAACAUCCAUCGAUAGUAUCUACAUAUCUUGUCCAUUCAGUAUCUUGUAUAUUACAGUAAGAUCACCUAUCUUCUAAAUUCCAAUGAGUACAUGCUCAAUUUUUUCAAUCUUUCAUAAGGUAAGCCAAGUCCCGGAAAAUGGAAUGAGAAUACAUAGGUGCUUGAGGAUGCAUGUGAAAAUGAUGGAUCGAAGGACCUCUAUCUGCUAUACCCCAAGCAGUUUGACCGUUUGCAGGAGGUGUCUCCAGCUGGAGCAGCCUAAUCUUUGGUUCGAUCAUGAUCAGUAGCUGGGGUCAUUACGAUGUAUUCACGAGGCUGAGCGAUUCAUGAAUAUCACAUUCCAGGAUUUCGUCACUCUACACAUUAAGGUGGUGCUGGCACAGAGGUAACUGGCACUGCCAGGCAAAGGGAACCUGACAGCAGGUUGCAAGUCUGGCUUUGCUGUUCCAGUUCAUGCGUAUUCUCACCUGAAGGUUACAUUGCUAUGAGUGUGGAGUCGCAUGUACCUCAAACCAGAUACUGCCAGAACUCCUGUUUCACCAGCAAUUUCCAUUUUGUUGUUGAGUCUUAAAACUUAAGUUUUCCUUCAACUAACACGUGUUUCACCAUAUUAAGAGGGACAUUGGGAUCAUAAACUAGUGUACAAAACCAAAAGUGCAUAUCUACUGUUUGGAGUUGCUGCUUCAUAUUUCCUUUCUUGGGCUCUGCAUGUUUCAGUGAGCAUAGCUGGUUUGGUUGGUCACAGAUGCCAUGAAUGCUUGGUAGAAGGUGCCCCACUGGAACAGACAUUGGACGAAAGGAAAUCUGCACUUAAGGCCCAGUCAAAGCUUUUUUCCAAACUUAUCGCACAAGGAAUAGCAAACUUUUUUCCUUCUGUGAAAUAGAUGGCACAACUCAUCCUUCUCAACAGGCUAACUGGUUGCCAUUACUGGAAGUUGAAUUUACGCACCAGAUCAUUUUGAAGUAUAAAUGAAGUAGUAUUCCAGAAUUACUGAUAGAAUACACACAAUGAAGCUCAAGUACUUUCAAUAACUACGGGGUAGUUCUGGGAUAAUGUGUGUUCCAGCAGGACAAUUUGGCUAUAACAUCGCUGAAGGAUUAGGGAAUGGUAUUUUCUGGGGCGCUGACCUCUGUUGACAACAGCACGAUUUCAGUGGGGAUAGGUUUACAUGCUUCGUUCUGCAUGUGCUGAACUCUCUGUGCCAUUCUGUGCUUGUGACAUCAGUGCUGGUCUUCGUGCAUAUACGCGGUGUCGGCGCCCAUCUUCAUGUCAUUCUGCGCAUGCGCCAAUGUCAGCUGCCGACAGAGCAGCUUUCUGUGAGAGGUAUUGUACAGAGAGCAGUUUUCUUGCAUUUUUAAAAUGUACUGUGUUAAA